rnacentral:rRNA from 1 species
AAUGAACGUUGGCGGCGUGGAUUAGGCAUGCAAGUCGCGCGAGAAGUCAUUUAGCUUGCUAAAAGGCGGACAGCGGCGGAAGGGAGAGUAACGCGUGGUUAUGUACCCUCGAGACCGGGAUAGUGUCGGGAAACUGUCUGUAAUACCGGAUAACAUCUUCGGAUCAAAUGGUGUGAUUCCGCUCGAGGAUCGGACCGCGUACUAUUAGCUAGUUGGCGGGGUAAUAGCCCACCAAGGCUUAGAUGGUUACCGGGUGUGAGAGCAUGGCCCGGACCACUGGGACUUAGACACUGCCCAGACAUGCACGGAUGGCUUGAGUCGAGAAUCGUCGGGAAUGGACGAAAGUGUGACCGAGCGACGCCGCGUGCGGGAUGAAGGCCCUCGGGUUGUAAACCGCUGUCAGUUAGGAGGAAAUCCAUGAGGGUACUCUCUCAUGGUUGACCGAUUUUCAGAGGAAGGACGGGCUAAGUUCGUGCCAUCCGCCGCGGUAAUAC